rnacentral:rRNA from 1 species
CCUACGGGUGGCAGCAGUGGGGAAUAUUGCACAAUGGGGGCAACCCUGAUGCAGCGACGCCGCGUGAGUGAAGAAGUCAUUCGUUAUGUAAAGCUCUAUCAGCAGGGAAGAAAAUGACGGUACGUGAGUAAGAAGCCACGGCUAACUACGUGCCAGCAGCCGCGGCAAUACGGAGGGGGCAAGCGUUAUCCGGAUUUUCUGGGUGUAAAGGGAGCGUAGUCGGCAGUGCAAGUCUGGAGUGAAUGGCGGGGGCUCAACCCCCGGACUGCUGUUGAAACUGUACGGCUGGAGUGCAGGAGAGGUAAGUGGAAUUCGUAGUGUAGCGGUGAAAUGCGUAGAUAUUAGGAGGAACACCAGUGGCGAAGGCGACUUACUGGACUGUAACUGACGUUGAGGCUCGAAAGCGUGGGGAGCAAACAGGAUUAGAUACCCCGGUAGUC